rnacentral:rRNA from 1 species
UGGGGAAUAUUGGACAAUGGGCGGAAGCCUGAUCCAGCAACGCCGCGUGAGGGAUGACGGCCUUCGGGUUGUAAACCUCUUUCAGUACCGACGAAGCGAAAGUGACGGUAGGUACAGAAGAAGGACCGGCCAACUACGUGCCAGCAGCCGCGGUAAUACGUAGGGUCCGAGCGUUGUCCGGAAUUAUUGGGCGUAAAAGGGCUCGUAGGCGGUUUGUCGCGUCGGGAGUGAAAACAGCGGGCUUAACUCGUUGCUGCUUUCGAUACGGGCAGACUAGAGGUAUGCAGGGGAGAAUGGAAUUCCUGGUGUAGCGGUGAAAUGCGCAGAUAUCAGGAGGAACACCGGUGGCGAAGGCGGUUCUCUGGGCAUUACCUGACGCUGAGAGCGAAAGUGUGGGGAGCGAACAGGAUUAGAUACCC